GAUGAACGCUGGUGGCGUGCCUAAUACAUGCAAGUCGAGCGAACAGACGAGGAGCUUGCUCCUCUGACGUUAGCGGCGGACGGGUGAGUAACACGUGGAUAACCUACCUAUAAGACUGGGAUAACUUCGGGAAACCGGAGCUAAUACCGGAUAAUAUAUUGAACCGCAUGGUUCAAUAGUGAAAGACGGUUUUGCUGUCACUUAUAGAUGGAUCCGCGCCGCAUUAGCUAGUUGGUAAGGUAACGGCUUACCAAGGCAACGAUGCGUAGCCGACCUGAGAGGGUGAUCGGCCACACUGGAACUGAGACACGGUCCAGACUCCUACGGGAGGCAGCAGUAGGGAAUCUUCCGCAAAGGGCGAAAGCCUGACGGAGCAACGCCGCGUGAAUGAUGAAGGUCUUCGGAUCGUAAAACUCUGUUAUUAGGGAAGAACAAAUGUGUAAGUAACUAUGCACGUCUUGACGGUACCUAAUCAGAAAGCCACGGCUAACUACGUG
rnacentral:rRNA from 1 species